rnacentral:lncRNA from 1 species
AUCGUAGUACCACCACUGCCUGGGAAAGCCUUGAAGCGGCAGCUCCCUUUCCGAGGAGAUGAAGGGAUCUUUGAGGAGUCUUUCAUUGAAGAAAGGAGGCAAGGCCUCGAACAGUUUAUUAACAAAAUUGCUGGGCACCCACUGGCUCAGAAUGAACGCUGUCUACACAUGUUCCUGCAGGAGGAGGCAAUUGAUAGGAACUACGUCCCUGGGAAGGUGCGCCAGUAGGAGUCCCUCUCACCACUUGCCCUCUACUUUUCCUGCUGAAAUGACAUUGGUUUUUACACUAAGCCUCUCUCUCUUUUUGAUCUGAAGUUGGCUACCCAUCCCCUGGCUUGAUAGACCGUCCUGCAUUGUGCCCCUUGGUACCAGACUACACCGUGUGGGCGCUCUGCUAGUAUCUCUUCUCUGAAGAGAGGUGGGAAACCACAGGCAGAUGUUCUUUGCUUGGGGUUGGGGUGGGGGAGGGAUUGGACUGGAAGGCAAUUUCUUGGGCAUUUUAACUAUACCAGAAGGCUAACUUGGGGGGAGGGGGGUGUGCUGGUGAGGCACUUGGAUAUAUUACUGAUGCUGCAAGUCUAGGGCCUUUUUCUUAUUCUUAGGUUUAACCAGGAACACUGAAUAGGGAGAAUCCCUGCUUUUCCUACCUGCAUGAAAAAUUUUCUUUUUGGGGAAGGUGGUAGAAACCCAAAACGUAUUUUUUUCUAGGCCUAUUCCCAGUUUUCUCAGCAGUUUUUUGUUUGUUUGUUUUUCCUCUCCCCUGUUGCUUUUCAUGGCAGCAAUCCUAGAGUUUAAGCAGUUCAAUGUGUAGAGCAGGAUGUAUGGGUUUUCUGGGCCCAUCGUCAAUGGUUACUGCAAAGUCAAAAAAAGCCAUAGGGUAGUAGGGUGCUCCUAUUGCCUAGCCCCUAUCCUUUUAUGGCUCCCUACUCUGGCUGUCUAUAUUUUGCUCACUAGCUAAUGAGUCAGUAUGGGCCAGCAGUUCUCUCUCCUCGAGCCCUUGUACUUUUGUGGGUUAGCUUUGUGGGUUUUGAGGGACAAGAGCAACUUAUCACUGCCAGGUGACUUUCUGAAUGGUGGGAGGGGGUCAUGUUUUAGGUUCCUCUUGAUGGUAAGGAAGAGCAACAUCAUUUUCCU